rnacentral:rRNA from 1 species
UGAACGCUGGCGGUAUGCCUAACACAUGCAAGUCGUACGAGAGUUUUUAACUCUAGUGGCGGACGGGUGAGUAACACGUGAGAAUUUGCCUUUAGGAGGGGGAUAACAAUUGGAAACGAUUGCUAAUACCCCAUAUGCUUUCGAGUGAAAUGGAUUUAUAUUUAUCCGCCUAGAGAGAAGCUCGCGGCUGAUUAGCUUGUUGGUAAGGUAAUGGCUUACCAAGGCGACGAUCAGUAUCUGGUUUGAGAGGACGAUCAGACACACUGGAACUGAGACACGGUCCAGACUCCUACGGGAGGCAGCAGUGGGGAAUUUUCCGCAAUGGGCGAAAGCCUGACGGAGCAAUACCGCGUGAAGGAAGACGGCCUAUGGGUUGUAAACUUCUUUUCUCAGGGAGGAACUCAAUGACGUGUACCUGAGGAAUAAGCAUCGGCUAACUCC